UGGGGAAUAUUGCACAAUGGGGGAAACCCUGAUGCAGCGACGCCGCGUGAGCGAUGAAGGAAUUCGUUUCGUAAAGCUCUGUCCAAGGGGAAGAUAAUGACAGUACCCUUGGAGGAAGCCCCGGCUAAAUACGUGCCAGCAGCCGCGGUAAUACGUAUGGGGCGAGCGUUGUCCGGAAUUAUUGGGCGUAAAGGGUACGUAGGCGGUUAGAUAAGUCAGAUGUAAAAGCGUGGGGCUCAACCCCAUAAAGCAUUUGAAACUGUGUAACUUGAGUAGUGGAGAGGAAAGUGGAAUUCCUAGUGUAGCGGUGAAAUGCGUAGAUAUUAGGAGGAAUACCAGUGGCGAAGGCGACUUUCUGGACACAAACUGACGCUGAGGUACGAAAGCAUGGGGAGCAAACAGG
rnacentral:rRNA from 2 species